rnacentral:rRNA from 1 species
CCUACGUGAGGCAGCAGUGAGGAAUAUUGGUCAAUGGGCGCGAGCCUGAACCAGCCAAGUAGCGUGAAGGAUGACUGCCCUACGGGUUGUAAACUUCUUUUAUAAAGGAAUAAAGUGAGGCACGUGUGCCUUUUUGUAUGUACUUUAUGAAUAAGGAUCGGCUAACUCCGUGCCAGCAGCCGCGGUAAUACGGAGGAUCCGAGCGUUAUCCGGAUUUAUUGGGUUUAAAGGGAGCGUAGAUGGGUUGUUAAGUCAGUUGUGAAAGUUUGCGGCUCAACCGUAAAAUUGCAAUUGAUACUGGCAGUCUUGAGUACAGUUGAGGUAGGCGGAAUUCGUGGUGUAGCGGUGAAAUGCUUAGAGAUCACGAAGAACUCCGAUUGCGAAGACAGCUUACUAAACUGCCACUGACAUUGAUGCUCGAAAGUGUGGGUAUCAAACAGGAUUAGAUACCCGAGUAGUC